CGUAGGGUGCGAGCGUUAAUCGGAAUUACUGGGCGUAAAGUGUGCGCAGGCGGCGCCGCAAGUCGAGUGUGAAAGCCCCGAGCUUAACUUGGGAAUUGCGCUCGAAACUAUGGUGCUGGAGUGUGGCAGAGGAAGGUGGAAUUCCACGUGUAGCGGUGAAAUGCGUAGAGAUGUGGAGGAACACCGAUGGCGAAGGCAGCCUUCUGGGCCAACACUGACGCUCAUGCACGAAAGCGUGGGGAGCAAACAGGAUUAGAUACCCUGGUAGUCCACGCCCUAAACGAUGAUGACUAGUUGUUGGAGAGUUAAAUCCUUUAGUAACGCAGCUAACGCGUGAAGUCAUCCGCCUGGGGAUACGGUCGCAAGAUUA
rnacentral:rRNA from 1 species